rnacentral:lncRNA from 10 species
GCAAACAGCAGCCCUGCUAGGGCAUAGCUUUCCAGCUGUGAUCCAGGCAUGUGGCCCUGGCUGCUUCAUGAAAGGCCCUGGAUCUGAGCCCUGGCCUGGCCUCUUCCAGAUGUAAGAUGGGGAAGAGCUCAGAAUCUCUCUGAACCUCCAUUUCCUUAACUGUAAAGUGAGGGGCUGGAUUGCUUGAUUUCUAAGCUCAAUUAUCUAGACAUGCCAAAAUGUACUAUCUACCUGAUUCUAGAAUCUCUCAAACCUGCCCUAAUCUGCCUGUACCAAUGGGCUCUGGAGAAUGUCCUGAUGUCACCAGAUUCAUGCCUGAGAUGAAAGCCUUAGGAUUCAAGAGCCCAGCUCUGUCCUUCUCCAAUGCAGCCUCAAACCUCCUGCUGUUCCUGGCCCCGUGCUAGCAUCCCCUUCCCACCAUCACAGGAUACCCUAAAGGCCCUGAUAACAGACAUUUCCAUAUUACUGGGCUCACGCCUUCAUGGUGGACCUCCUGGAGGUGGGCAUAGCCCAUGCCCAGGUAGAGAGGAGCAGGAAGGCAUGGGCAUGUUUGGGGAGGUUGAGAGAGACCAACCUGGCUGCAUCAGAUAGAGAGCACCAGUGGCUGGUCUGGCUAGGAAUCCAGGUCGGGGCCCUAGAGUGGCCACAUUUACUUGCUUUUGCUAAGGUAAUUUCAGGUUUGGUAAGGCAAUGAGUGAAGAUCUGUUGGGCAGGUGGUCUCUUGGUGCCCUGUAAUCACGUACUUGAGUCUGCCUCCCUCAUCUCACCCCAGUGGUGACUCAUAAAUCAACACCAAAGCCAGUUACGCUGCCAUCCGGCAGAACUCGUGCCCCAGACACCUUGGGAGGAAGUGGAGCCAGAAGUGAGAACACUCUCUGAGGGUGAAAAAACUCCAACAGUUCUUCUGUUCUCACGCCGCGCCACAACAAUCAACACAGAAGGCUUCUACGACCAAAUGUGUGGGGAUUUCUCCCCACCACCGAGCAAACUGCCCAGACAUGGACACCGGCAUGAACUGGGGGUCCUCCAGUUAAGUUCUGACACUCUCUACCUGGAGACAGCGUCAGAUCCCAGGGGUUGGGGGCUUAGUCCCCCAAGACCACCCCUGACCUUCAGACAUCACUCACUAGUACAGGCCUCGGGAACUUCUGACAACCAGCUAUAAAUUGAUAAAGACCCCCUCUUUAUUAAUUUGCUAGGGUGGCUCGCAGAACUCGGGGAAACCCUUAGGUUUACCAUAAAGGAUGUUACAAAGGAUACAGAUGAAGAGAUGGAUAGGCGAGGUAUAGGGGAAGGGGUGCGGAGCUUCCAUGCUCUCCCUGAGUGUGACUCUCUCCGGGAACCUCCAUGGGUUCAGCUACCUAGAAAUUCUUAGAACUGUGUCCUUUUGGGUUUUCAUGGAAGCUUUGUGACAUAGGCAGGAUUGGCCAUUGAUGGUCAACUUAACCUUCAGCUUUUCUCCCCUCCCUGGAGUUCAGGGUGGGGCUGAAAAUCUCAACCCUCUAAUCCUGCCUUGGUCUUUCCAAUGACCAGCCUCACCCUGAAGCUACCUAGGGGCUGCCAGCCAUCAGCCAACUCAUCAGCAUUCAAAAGUACAUCACUUUGGAGAUUCUAAGGAUUUUAGGAGGUGUAUGUCAGGAAAUGGAUUCAAAGGCCAAAUAUUUAUCUCAUAAUAUCACACUCCUAAACUCAUAGGACACUGGCAAGGACACCAAGCUCAACUCCUCCCCAUUUCUGAAUCCCUGGGCUCCAUGCUGCGCCUAUGGCUGCUGCACAGUUGUUCUGAAGGGGCCCUGGCCUGCAUGUGCCUGAUGCACACAGCUGGAGGGUGUCCUGCAGAGAUGGGACCAUUAGCUGGCAGGCAUGUGUGGUGGAGGGGACAGGGGAGCACGUGCCAUAGUUCGAUUUAUUUUUAGGUAUGUGGGAGUCACUAAAGGCAGUAAGCAAGGGUGUGAUGUAAUCAAUUGUGCAUUUUAAAGUGAUUGCUCCAGCUGCCUGUGGAGAAUGGAUUGGAGAAGGGCCAAAGGGCACUCAGGGGCGUCAGCUGGGAGGCUGUGCUACAGUUCCCAGGAAGGAUGUGGCUGCAACAGUGACAGAAAACACAUAAACAGGGCAAUGGACUAUAGGGUGUUCGUGCAACCAGACACACCCAGCCAAGAGUAUCUCACCUCCUGCAGGUCAGAUGCAGACACCCUCUAACCACUGGCAUUUUGGCCUCUGGAAUGAGCCUGGUGGUGAUAAAGUCUGGAGGGCCACAGGUGACCAUAUGAGCCACAGGAUGCCUCAAGACCAGAGACAUCCUCGCAGAAUCAACAAGAGGAGAGCAAAGGACAGGAAGAGACUCAGGCAAAACUUUUGUCUGCACAACCAAUUCCCAUCUUCACCACCUGAACGCCACCCCAGAUGACAUAUAUGGGGCUGCUUUUGCCAUCCACAUGGCUAGGACAGUGUAUCUGUAGUUGUCAACAACAAUCAGAGGACCAUAUCAAUUAAACCAGGAACUUUUCCAUGUCGUUUCGACUGAAUCAUAUAAAGGUAGACAACAUCGCACUAUGUUGGUGCACAGAGCACUCUGAAAUGAUUCAUUUUUCGCUCCUUUGAGGCGAAGGCAAACCUACAAGCAGAACAAACC